rnacentral:tRNA from 1 species
GGGCUAUUAGCUCAGUGGUAGAGCGGGGCGAGGUCUCUGGUUCAAGUCCAGGAUGGCCCA